rnacentral:rRNA from 1 species
GAUGAACGCUGGCGGCGUGCCUAAUACAUGCAAGUCGAGCGAAGCGGGGAGGGGUGAGUAACAUGUGGCUAACCUCCUAUAAGACUGGGAUAACUUCGGGAAACGGGAGCUUAUCCGGCAACUCAUAGAUGGAUCCGCGCUGCAUUAGCUAGUUGGUAAGGUAACGGAUUACAAAGGCAACGAUGCAUAGCCGACCUGAGAGGGUGAUCAGCCACACUGGGACUGAGACACGGUCCAGACUCCUACGGGAGGCAGCAGUAGGGAAUCUUCCGCAAUGGGCGAAAGCCUGACGGAGCAACCCCGCGUGAGUGAUGAAGGUCUUCGGAUCAUAAAACUCUGUUAUUAGGGAAGCGGUACCUAAUCAGUAAGCCACGGCUAACUACGUGCCAGCAGCCGCGGUAAUAC